AACACACAAUUUUGACAACAUUCCGCAAACUCAGGGUGGGCUUCCGGUCUGAAGGAGGUGUGACGGGAUGAUAUCGGCUGCCAUCGCUCAGCCGAACAAUUUGGAGAAACAAUUUCAAGUGUGUGUUGGAGGUCUACAAAAACAGCCACCGUGCCCCGCCGCGCCCCCACACCCAGCGGAGCCGUCAUGUGGCAGGAGGCCCGCAAACAUGAGCGCAAGCUGCGCGGCAUGAUGGUGGACUACAAACGCCGCGGCGAGCGCCGGCGAGAGUACUACGAGAAGAUCAAAAAGGACCCGGCUCAGUUCCUUCAGGUUCACGGCCGGGCCUAUAAGAUCCAUCUGGACUCGGCCGUGGCGCUCGCCGCAGAAAGCCCCAUCAACAUGAUGCCCUGGCAGGGAGACGCCAACAACAUGAUUGACAGGUUUGACGUGAGGGCACACCUGGACUUCAUACUCACCUACACCCCUCCGCUCCUCAGCACAGCCACCCCAGAACAGGAGUCGGAGGAGAGGAAGUGCAACUAUGAGCGUUACAGGGGCCUAGUGCAGAACGACUUUGCCAGCAUCUCUGAGGAGCAGUGUUUGUACCAGAUCCAAAUGGACGAGCUCUAUGGUGGCCUGCAGAGGCCAAAUGAGGAUGAGAAGAAAAAGCUUGCUAAAGAGAAGGCUACCAUUGGCUACACGUACGAGGACAGCACUGUUACGGAGCCUGGGGAGGAGGAAGAGAAAGGGGAGGAGGAUGACUCUGAGAACAGCGAAUCGGAGGAGGACGAGGGCAUCCCAGACAUUGACGUGGAGGUGGACGUUGACGAGCUCAACACGGAGCAGGAGUUGGAUCUGAACAAGAUGGCCAACCCAUAUGGAAUGGCAGAGGGAGAUUUUGUCAGGAUGCUGAGGAAAGACAAGGAUGAGGUGGAGGCCAUUAAACACGCCAAGGCUCUGGAGGCAGAGAAGGCCAUGUACUCGGGCCGUCGCUCUCGCAGACAGAGGAGGGAGUUCAGAGAGAAGAGACUGAAGGGCAGACAGAUCAGCCCACCCAGCUAUGCCAGGAGAGACAGCCCAACCUACGAUCCCUACAAACGGCCCCAGUCGGAGUCCAGUUCGGAGUCACGGUCCCGCUCCCGUUCCCCAGGCCCAGAGAAGAUCACAUUCAUCACCAGCUUUGGAGGCAGUGACGAGGAGGCUGCCGCGGCAACCCAAGCUCCACCCCCUGUCCACUCCGGCCACACUCCCGCCAACUUGCUGCAACACCCCGCAGCAGACGCCGCUCUUCCUCCAGCCCUUCCUCCUCUUCCUCCCACUCUUCCACUCAUCGCUCCUCCUCUCGUUCCUCCUCUCACUCACGCCGCGACAGACGCCACGGAGGAGGGAGGGAUGGACGACAUUCCCGGUCGAGGCGGCGCUCCGACUCACGGUCCCGGGGCAGAGGAGCCAACGGAGGAGGGGGGUCACGGAGGAGAUACGACCGGACACAGUCACGCUCAAAUGACCGGGACAGGGAGCGAGAACGGGACAGAGACAGGGACGUGGGUCGUCGCUUCGCAGCACGCAGACGCACACGGUCCAGCUCUAACUCUCGGCAGGGGGACCGUGCCAGGCCCGGGGGGGGUAGGCGGACUUCAGGAGGGCAUCGGAGGGGGGUCAGCAGCAGCCCUAGCCCCUCCCAGUCCCCCCAGCCCAGCUGCUCCCCCUCCCCCUCACACAGAGGAGGCCCGCCCUCUGCCACUGCUCUCUGUGACAAGCUGAGAAAGCCUGAUACUCCGGGUGGUAAAGAGACAGGAGCUGCCAAAGUCAGUAAGAAUUUGAUCUAGCUGGGUUUGUUGCUAAAGUCUACGCCUCCCUCACCCCUGACAGGCUGAGCUGGUUGUCCAUCAGGCUGGGGAUCCCGCCCCUCCCCCCCGAAUGCCACUGUGCACACAGAGAAUGGAAAUCAUAUGAAAUGUCUUUUGACUGCCUCUCUCUGUGGAGCUUCCAUUGUAACUGGUGAUCUUACCUCCCCCUGAAUGCAGUGUAGAGUUAAACCCUUCUGUACUCAGUUUAGAGUGUGGUUGCAGGGUUAGCCUACCUCGAAAGGGCAGAACCUACAUCGCAGAGUGGAGUAUGACAGAGACUUUAUCUGACACUUCUUUCCCCUCCUUAUCCCUGAAUGGACUUGUGUUCCCAGCACCCUUUCUGUCACUUAUGUAUCUGUCUGUUUUAUGGAUGUUGCUGUAUUCUGCGGCUCUUACUGCGCUAUGGAGGGUGUUGCGGUCAGACAAGAGAGAGAGCGAGAGUGUGUGUGUGUGUGUGUGAGCAGAGGUGUGCCCCCCCCCUAAAUCGCAAUGAGACGUUUCACUCUACAGGUCGACAACCCGUUGUAAAGCUAGUGCCCUAAGACUGAGUGGAAAGCACUGAUAUGUCAUUGUCAGAGGCUCUUAAAUGGCUUCUUUUCCUUGUCUCCUUUCCUUGUCUCCUCUCUUCCAUCACCACUGAUCUGAAAGGACUGGGUAAGUCAAAGCAAAGUAGUAGUAAAGGAAGCCAUAUAAGAGUAAAGGGGGGAGAGAGUAGUCUAGAGUCUGGGUGCGUUCCAAUAGUCUUAAGUGGCUUCCUCUCCUCGUCUCCAUUCUUUCAUCUGUGCUGACGGUAAAAGAACUAGAUAAGUGAAGGCAACGUACUGGUAGGCAUACUCUAUAUUUAUUUAAAAUCGCCUAUGUUUCAGAUCAGCCUAAGUGAAGGCGACUCAGGAGAGGAGGUCAUCUAAGGCUGUUAAGCACACCCCUGCUAUGUAGUGAGGUCGGAGCUCUCAGGUGCACGCAGCUGACGUGGACAGCAGAGCGGUGGGGGGGGCUGGGCUUGUCUGAGCAGGCAGGAGAAAUACACCACCACGCCUCUCCACCCAGGGCUUAACAGCACACACUAUUACCUGCUGCCUUCCCUUUAGAGACACGACACUAGUCUUUGAUAUGAACCGCUCCGGUACAGGGGAUUCACAGGGAAAGGAAUACAUCUGGGUUGCUGAAUCGAAAGCGAGCGUUAGAGGGAAGGGUAAAUGAAUUCUGUAGGCAUUUUGGCCUGUAAUGUGUGCUUGUCUAUCUACGAGCUGAAUUCCUACCUGGCCAGGGAGUGUAAGCAGGGAAUGUGCAGGGGAGGGGAGGGCUGCUGGCGCUACUUGUGGCCAACAUUUGCCAGACUGUUCUGUUCUCUCUCCCUCCCCAAACUCUCUUACCCUUAGCUGUCCUCGCAACAUUCACAUGUUAUAUACAUGGAAAUGCAUAAGGCAUGUAAUACUUAAGAGUCCAGUUCCAUGUAAUGUGAUCCUGUCCUGCUACUGGGUACAACAGCUGCGGGUCAUGGAGUUGGGGCCUCCUCGCCGCACGUAGCCGGAUCUACCAGUCCAGCAGAAAACAGGACAGGAGAUGACAAACGGCUCACGUUAUUUACGACUCUAUACCCCCACCUGACCAACCGUGUCCCCUUAAUUUCACACACACACACACACCCUGCGCUCCUGCCCUGCGAGUGUGUGUGCUGAUGCGCGCCUGUCUCUUACAGCCCAAGAUGACCCCGCAGGAGAAGCUGAAGAUACGCAUGCAGAAGGCCCUCAACAGGCAGUCCAAGGCGGAUAAGAAAGCAGCCCAGGCGAAAGUCACUCAGCAGGAAAAUAAGCGAGCGGAGCGCGAGGGAGAGCUCAGAGCCAUGGCA